UACGUAGGGUGCAAACGUUAUCCGGAUUUAUUGGGCGUAAAGAGUUCGUAGGCGGACCGGUAAGUUGGAUAUUAAAGACCCAGGCCUAACUUGGGGAAUGUAUCCAAAACUGCCAGUCUUUGAGGUAUGUAGGGGAGAAUGGAACUUACGGUGUAGCGGUGGAAUGCGUAGAUAUCGUAAGGAACGCCAAUGGUGAAGACAGUUCUCUGGACAUCACCUGACGCUGAGGAACGAAAGCGUGGGUA
rnacentral:rRNA from 1 species